AGAAAUCCCCGUCCAUCUCCCCACCCUCCCGAGCCAAAUCCCCUACACCCACGACGGGUUCCUUGCGCCGGACCCUGGGUUUCCGUGGUGGCUGGCCUCAUUUUUCCUCCAUCCCCUGCUCGCCGCGGAUACAUUCGCCGACUGCCGCCGAUUCUCUCGACAGUCGUUGUUCAGCCGGCUGGAUCAACGGCCUCUCCAUGGUCUUCCCGCACCAGCUGUUCGUAGCGGCGCGCCCGCUGCAGCACGCCGACCAGCCGCCCGCUACCUCGGCGUUUGGCGCCGGCAAGAAGAUGUACCCCAGACGUCGCCCCGGCGCUCUAGCUUCCCCACCGGCUGGUCUGCCGUCUGCGUGUCUGACGACGAGCGAAGCGGCCGCCAGUUCGGGAUCUGGGUCGUCCCCGCUAGCUCGCGAUUUGGCCCAUCGCCGGCCUUAUCCCCACCAUGUAGCUCGGUGUCAGGCGCGCCGCCGAGGCCAUCUAGAUUAACAACAGCGGUAUGGGAGGACGGCGGCAGCGACGUCGGCUUCUUCGACCUCGCCCUCAAGCUGGUAAUGCCGGAGCCGACUCGGGGAGGCAGCCGACCAGUUCCAGGUCCACCCAGGACCUGUAGACCAAGCAGGAGCUGGAGGCGUCGGGGGGCAACAAGGAGGAUUUCUUCGUCAGGAGGAUGGCCGAGAACGAGUCCAAGACUCAGGAGAUCCCGCCCUCCCAGGGUGGCAAGUACAUCAGCUUUGGAUCCACCCUGCCGCUCUCGGUUAAUAUGAACAACCGGGCUGCCCAGGGCGAUGCCAUGCAAGUGGUCUCCCAGGCGGCGUUGCAGUUUCAGUAGCUCUGAGGAUAGCUGGAUUAGCAAGCCAUACAUGCAGUUCAAAGAAAAAAUAUGCAGAUUUUGCCGGUUGAGGAUGUGUCACGCUAAGGCUAUUAGCAGAAAGUUCUCCGCAAAUUGCAACCGGAAAAACAGGGAUCAAGAUGCGGCGAAACUCAUCGGAGUUGGAUUGCUAUUGUUGACGUAAGGAGGUUGCAAUGGGUCAUCAAGAAUAUGGCAGAUGACAACACCAGGAAUUUAGGAAACAAUACUCCCUAUUCAUUGCAAUUAUAUCUUCUUGGAAGAAGUUAUCUUGCAACCUGAAUAAACUAUGAAAAGGUGAUUGUGACAUACUAUUGGCCGGCCUUGCCACCAAAGACUAUUUUCACGUGUGUGCCAUGCGCUCACAUUGGUGAUAUUUCCUAGUCUUUAGUUUGCUACCCCCAUUUGUAAUUACUCUACAACUAAGAGUAAGCAACUUUUCUAUCUCUGGACCUUGGUGCAUAAAUUCCUUGGGCAACGGAAUCCGAAAUAAGCAGCUUAGUCUUAGUUGUAGAUGCUAGCGAGGGUGUUACCACACCAUGAUUAUACAUCAUUAUGUUGAAGGUAGGUAGAGAUGUGCAGGGUGUCGCUUUCGCUGAUGAAUAUUAGUCAAUGGGUAUCAGAACUCGGUCAAUUACAUGAGAAGUUUUUGUGUUGCUUUUUCGUUGA